rnacentral:ncRNA from 1 species
GUUCGACAAUGGCAAACUUGCUGAAAGGCAAGGACGCAAAGCUGAGGGUCUACGGUUCUUAUGAACUAUGGCAGCCUGGUUACCGAA